CUGAUAUGAAAUUCUAGGCUUCAAACCUAGGUAAGAAUUUCCUUUGAUGUCUUAGUAGGGAUUUGAUCUUGCUAAUGACAUAAAUGCUAUACAGCUAGAGAAUAGUAAAUAAGCACUCACAGAACUUUCCAAGCACUAGUUACAUGCUUUUACAAACAUUCUCUUUAUCACUUCAAUUAUAUCAACUGUGAACUGUAGUAGAGAUUUUUCCUUUUACUGUUAACACCCA
rnacentral:lncRNA from 1 species